CAGCCCGGGCAGGGGGGCACACGGGACGUACCUUGCUGGGCAUCUUGGCCAGGCCCAUCCUCACACCUGCGCUCCAGGUGGGCAGCACGGGGACGGCCUCCGGAUCCUUCCAGCCUCCGCCGACGCCGGCGGGAUGGAACAUGAAAUAGCCAGGUUGUUUUUCCUGGUUAUCCAGGAAAAUCCAGACUAUGACCUUAUUCUGAGGUGACAAAGUUUAAAAGCACUGGGAUUCAUGCCUUAGAAAAACCCAGUUCUGCUCCAUCAAAAAUAAAAAGCAGUUCAUGCUCGUGGAUCAGCUCUCAAACAAAGUCAAAGACUUGGACAGAAGGACAGAAAAUGAGAUGUUGCAGCACCACAGUCAGUGGUGCACAAGAGAACGAGGGCAAACCUUGGUAAGAUGUAGGUGUUCCUAAACAGCUUCUGGUGAUUGAGCCCUGGAACAAUGGGCAAAUCCAACUCUGGAGGCACCUAAAGCUCAGCGUGCCUGAGCCAAGGCUGGGUCCAGCACUAGGCAGAGCCCAGGUGCAUCCCCCAGCCCUUGGGGGAGGCUGCAGAGGGGCACAGGAGAACAGCUCAGUUCUCACUGCACUCAGCCACCCCCAGACACAGGAACAAAUGUCCAGGAGCAGCAGGACCGUGGGGGAAAUCUCAGUGUUGCUUGUACAGCCAAACAUAAGAGGUAAAAGGUUCAACCCAAGAUGCCUACAUGCAGCAGGAGGAAUUUCUGCCCAGCCAGGAGCCUUCCUGGGAAGCUUUUCCUCCAGGUCUGGAAGUGCAAGAGACUGUGAUAAUUAAUUUCUCUGCUGAGCAACAACAGCUGCAGCCACAGGGUGGGACCUGCUAUGGAAGGCAGAAAAAAAAAAAAGAAAAAACUAACCUGCUCCAGACCCGCAAGCUUCUUGAAUCUCCUGUUGCUGCAGGAUGGAAAGUGAGGAUGAGCAGCACCAACUUCUCUGGGCACCAGGAAGGAUUCAUCCCCAGUAUCCCACCCCUCCCUGCCUUUGGGCAGUGGAUGGACACACAGCCAGACACAUUCCCUGUGUCCUGUCCCUCCAGCUCUCCUGGAGCCCCUUCAGGCCCUGAGCUCUCCCUGGAGCCUUCUCCUCUGCAGGUGAGCAGCCCCAGCUCUCCCAGCCUGGCUCCAGCCCUGGGGCCUCCUCUGGACCCAUCCCAGCAGCUCCAGGUCCUCACACCCGGUGUCACACCCAUGUCACACUUCCCACCUCACCCAAAACUCCAGCCAGGACCUUGCAGCCCACGUGGAAGGCUGGGGGAGAUUUACAGGUGACACGUGGAGGCUCAGGUAGCACGGGACAGAAAAGAGCCCUGUGCAGCCCAAGGUGCCCUCAAACCUUUCCCAACCUCUGUCACUUGCCCAACUCCUGAAGGGCAAAUCCCACCCCUGACCCAAAGCACCUGGGGCUAAGCCUGCUUUUAAAAGUAAUUUAUUUGGAUUUUCCACAUCCUUUCAUGAAUUGCAAAUAUAUUAACAGAAAAGAUUUUUUUUUCCCCCUAGGACUGUACAAAUUUUGAAAUAAAAAAAUCAAGAAAAGCAAAAAAAAAAAAAAAAAAAUCAAGAAAAAAAAGGACAAAUUACAUUGUUUCAAUGCAAAUAGUAACACCACACCCACACUUUGCAUUCUUCCAUAGUUUUGUUGUAAGAAAAUGACAGUUCCCAAAUUCUCUUCAGUGAACACUUGCUCACCUCCCUGCCAGUGCCUCUAUGCUCUGCCUCUUCCUCUCUGUCCCUCCUCAAAGAGCCAAAUUUUAGUCCUUCAAUACUAAUUUUGUAUUUUUCCUUAGAAUGUAAAAUAGCAGCAAGGGCUAAAUGUGACCCUGGAUUCUUGGGGAAAAAAGAAAAUACCUUUAAGGUAGGAUGAGCAUACAAAGCCAGGAAUGUUUUUAUGUAUUAAAUCUUCCAAAUAGCACAAACAUCCCAGCUCAAUUAAGAGCUUUUUCCAAGGGGUUGAAAAGUUUUACUGCAGUUUUCAGGGAACAAAUAAAAAGGAAAAAAAGGCCCCACAAUUCCUGAAUCUCUGGUCCCCACAUGAACAACAUUUGUUAUGGCAAAGUAAAUAGCACCUGCUUCCUCCUGCUUUUUGUUUAGAAAAUAUGCUGGGAACCAAAAGGAAGCCAAUUAACAUGGUAAUUAGUGGCAUUCCACAAGUGCUGCCUGCAGACCUUACCAGGAGGUGCUGCCCAGACUCCUCUGCUGAGGGAGGUGUUGGGAAGCCCCAGGAGCCUCAGGAGCAGGGCCUGGGAGCUGUGCCCUGGGUGCAGAGCAGCUCCAGGGAAUCCUGAGCCCUGUGCCCUGCCCAGGGAAGGCUCUCCAGGAAGGGGAAUCAGCCAGAGCACCCUCAGCCCCAGGAAUCCGUGUGAGAGCCUCACUCCAGCCCAGGUCAGUCCCCAGUCCAUCCAGCAGCUCCCAGAGCCAGCUGCUCAAAGGGCAGGGCACAACACAGAGCUCAUUUAACCUCUUUUCAUUCCUCAGAUUUCACAGGGGUUUUUCACCCUAUGAAGGGAAUUGAAGCCUGUUUUUCACUGCCCAUCCUCCUACUUCAAAAAAAAAAACCCCACCACACCACAGAAUUUUAUUUUUGCUCAGAACUUGGGGAUGAUUUUUUAAAGAAUAAAGGUGUCCAUGUGGCUCUUGACCAGAGAGAAACAGGGACAGAAGAGGUGCCAAGUGGACAAGGACAGAAUUCAAAAGAAAUUGAAGGGUAAAUGAAAGUAAGAGACACCUAAAAACCAACAGA